GUGUUCUUGACUAUGAUGUGUUCGAUUAGGUCUAAUAUGUUGUUUUUCUAUGUAGUUUGUUGGUUCUGUCUCUCGGUGGGUCUUCUCCUCAAAGCUUUCCCUCGGUGGCUCAAAUCGAAGCUUUCACCUCAAAUCGAAAGGUAAACCGGUUGUUCUGUUGUUUCAGUAUGCAUGUGAUUGAUUAUUGUAGUUUGUUGGUUCUGUUUGUUUCACCUGAAAUCAAAAUUUUGAUGUGUUUGAUCUCUGGAUAUGUUAUGUUUGUUCUUGGGUUUUAAUUUUGUUUCAAUUAAUACGGAUGGAUCAAAGUUGAUUUGCUAUGUUUCAAUCCUUGCUCUGUGUCUGUUCUUUGAUUUGUUUUUGCUUUUGAUUAUGUCUUUCUGUUGAAUUAUGGUCUGA
rnacentral:lncRNA from 1 species